CUUGGACCUGAGUACUACUGUCAUCAGCCUCAAACUGCAGGUUCCACUUGCCAGCUCCUGAGGUCUUCAAAAGGCAGUAAAAUGGAGGACCACAGUCAGUGGAAUAAAGCAGUCAGUGAAGAAUACAAAUUGGGGAAACUGAAAGAAUAAAUACUUGUUACAGUUGAAGGAAGAAAACACAACUGGAUGUACAAAGUACUAUUCACUCUAAUACUUAGACUAAAGACCACUUUACUUAAAGGAAAAAAACAACAAAAUGUCCUGUCUUAAAUUGUUUCAGCAUUUUGUUAACCUGAUUUUGAUCAUGUUCUAGGAAUUACCA